rnacentral:tRNA from 1 species
AAAAAUUUAGUUAAAAAAUAACAUUAGCUUGUCAAGCUAAAAUUACCUUGAAUUAAUAAGUAAUUUUUA